UACGAAGGGGGCUAGCGUUGCUCGGAUUGACUGGGCGUAAAGGGCGCGUAGGCGGUUCGUACAGUCAGACGUGAAAUUCCUGGGCUCAACCUGGGGGCUGCGUUUGAUACGUGCGGGCUUGAGUGCGGAAGAGGGUCGUGGAAUUCCCAGUGUAAAGGUGAAAUUCGUAGAUAUUGGGAAGAACACCGGUGGCGAAGGCGGCGACCUGGUCCGAUACUGACGCUGAGGCGCGAAAGCGUGGGGAGCAAACAGG
rnacentral:rRNA from 1 species